GGAAAGUGUACAUAGACACAUGCCACAGUCCUAGCUAGGCUACUAAAAUGUUGCAGUCUGGCUUCGGUUUUUAAACUUGACAAUGAAUCAAAACAGAAAAAACGUACUGAAUGGGGCAGUGCAUUUCCUCAAAACCAAGGUGGUCCCAGACAGUUGGAAGACGGACAUGAACGAGAUAUUAGAAUCGUCCAGCAGCGACGAGGAGGACACGGAAGGAAAGUGAGUGAAGAGGAGAAGGAGGUGCUAAGGGUGGUCACACCAUUGUGGUGUCCUACCUCCUCAACUAACCCAACAACAUCCUGUCGGUCCCCGCGCAAGACCUAUCCCCUCCCAUGACACCUCUCAGGUAGGGACCGCUAGUUACUAACAGACAAAUAACUACUGUACUUCUACAAACAUGUUUGUUUAUUUGUCUGGAUGGAGUUGUAUUGACACCAAAUUGAUACCAAAUAUUGAUACCAACUAUACUUUUGUAAUAUCUCCUUACAUCUUAUGAGUUCCAAGCUCUGACCAUUGUGGAGCCAGACAGAGUCUCUUCUAACAUUACAACACCUGCACCCGUCAUCACAAAAGGUGGCUCCAAUCAGAGGCAGUGCCCCCUACAGGAUAACCCUGUCAUUGCAGACAGUCCAGACAGAGAUGCUGCCCCCCUUCCACCCGUACCAGCCCUUGGAGUCCAUUGUGAAAGAGACAGAGUGCAAGCUGAUCUCCAGCCAUAGAGAAGACCCAUCUGCAGAAUAAGAUGAUCCUCAAGGAGCAGUAAACUAAAGAGUAAAUAAAGACCGAAGGCCUGACCGAUGACCCGGGCAGCCCCUUCGCACUUUGGCCUCCCAGCAGUCCAGACUUUAGUACAGCAGACUACCCCGACAGCUCGAGCCCUGACCUGCUGAUGCUGAUGGUGAGUCAGCAGUAGAUGUUGGGGCAGCAGUUGACAGGCCUGGGACCGGCCUUCUCACCCAGGCCCCCGACGGACUACUAGUGGCCUUCCCCCUACAGAUCGUCACAGACACGCCGGUUGACAUCAUGGCAGAUACAGUGUCUUCCAAAAGUAUUCACAUCCUUUUCAGCACAUUUUGUUGUGUUACAAAGGGGGAUACAAAUGGAUUUAAUUGUAAUUUUUUUGUCAAUGACUCUAACACUUGUAGAAUUCUAACACUUGUAAAAGAUAUAUACAUUUUUAAAA